AAUCAACGCUGGCGGCGUGCCUAACACAUGCAAGUCGAACGAGAAAGUGGAGCAAUCCAUGAGUAAAGUGGCGACCGGGUGAGUAACACGUGACUACCUACCUUCGAGUGGGGGAUAACUCCGGGAAACCGGAGCUAAUACCGCAUAACAUCGCAGGAUCAAAGCAGCAAUGCGCUUGAAGAGGGGGUCGCGGCUGAUUAGCUAGUUGGCGGGGUAACGGCCCACCAAGGCGAUGAUCGGUAGCCGGCCUGAGAGGGCGCACGGCCACACUGGAACU
rnacentral:rRNA from 1 species